rnacentral:rRNA from 1 species
GUGGGGAAUAUUGGACAAUGGGCGCAAGCCUGAUCCAGCCAUGCCGCGUGAGUGAUGAAGGCCUUAGGGUUGUAAAGCUCUUUCAGUGGGGACGAUAAUGACGGUACCCACAGAAGAAGCCCCGGCUAACUUCGUGCCAGCAGCCGCGGUAAUACGAAGGGGGCUAGCGUUGUUCGGAUUUACUGGGCGUAAAGCGCACGUAGGCGGAUCGUUAAGUCGAGGGUGAAAUCCUGGAGCGCAACUCCAGAACUGCCUUCGAUACUGGCGAUGUUGAGUCCGGAAGAGGUGAGUGGAACUCCUAGGGUAGAGGUGGAAUUCGUAGAUAUUAGGAAGAACACCAGUGGCGAAGGCGGCUCACUGGUCCGGUACUGACGCUGAGGUGCGAAAGCGUGGGGAGCAAACAGGAUUAGAAACCCGGGUAGUCC